rnacentral:rRNA from 1 species
UACUCCUACGGGAGGCAGCAGUGGGGAAUUUUGGACAAUGGGCGCAAGCCUGAUCCAGCCAUGCCGCGUGAGUGAAGAAGGCCUUCGGGUUGUAAAGCUCUUUCAGACGGAAAGAAAUCGGCGCGUUUAAUACAUGCACUGGAUGACGGUACCGUAAGAAGAAGCACCGGCUAACUACGUGCCAGCAGCCGCGGUAAUA